rnacentral:rRNA from 1 species
CAGUGAUCACUUUAACGGCCGCGGUACCCUGACCGUGCAAAGGUAGCAUAAUCAUUUGCCUUUUAAUUGGAGGCUAGUAUGAAUGGUCUGACGAGAGUAAAACUGUCUCAUAUGUAUUUAAUAGAAAUUAACCUAAAGGUGCAAAGGCCUUUAUAUACCAAAAAGACGAGAAGACCCUGUUGAGCUUUAAUCUCAUGCAGGCAUUUUUUCUAUAUUUAUAAAUCCAUUUUGCUUACUAAAGAUUUUAAUUGGGGCGAUUAAGGAACACCCUAUAGCUUCCUGAUUAUAAGUUAAAUCGAUCCAGCAAUGCUGAUCAGCAAAAUGAGUUACCACAGGGAUAACAGCAUAAUUCUUCUCAAGAGCCCAUAUCGAAAGAAGAGAUUGUGACCUCGAUGUUGGACUAGGGUGACCAGAAGGUGCAGCCGCUUUCUUGUUUGGUCUGUUCGACCAGUAAUUCCCU